CUGAAAUACAAAAUCAGCAGCAUGGAGAAAAGCUUUCGCUUAAUGGAGGAAAAACUUUACAAAGUGGAGAACGAGUUGAACAAAGACCCAAAGCCCACAGCAAAGAGAACUUCCUGUUUUGAGAGAUGAAGAG